UUCAGCUCAGUAUAUUACGGUAUACAGUAAGUCCCCCCCAGUGGUGUCCAGCAUGUUACCAUUAUAGUCUAUGGACAGUAUAAAAUAUAGGUCACAUGACCAGGGUACACAAGGCGGUGAUGUCACAGAUGGCGGCGGUUGCACUAAGGUUCCAUCCGCUGUCUGAGUCUUUGAGGGUUUGUGAAGGAGCGAGACAAGAUGUCUGAUUUCUAUUUUGCGUGUGUGGGAGCGUUCAGCGCUAUAUUGUGGGUGGGCUUUGCCCUGUAUAAAAUUUUCGGAAGGAAGAGCGGCCAUGCUUGGCUUGGGGACCUGGAGGCUGCCUCCGGCGAUGAGCCAUUGGCCUAUUACGAGGAGUACGACUUCUCAUCUACUGUCCUGGUCAUGGAGGAAGAGUGAGAGGAGGACACCAUAAAAAGGAGUAAUCCAGGAGAGCCUAGAAAGACCAUAGGCCUAUAUGAGAUAAUGGAAAUAUAUCUAUAUCUAUACAUCUAUAUAUGUGUGUGCGCUUUUUGUCCAACAUUUUUACCUCACAUUCUUUAGUAGAAAUCCUGGAAUAAGAUGAUGUAAUGGGAAGAACACGUCCUCACACAGUUCUGUAGGUGGAAAAAUUAAAAACUUAUAGUUGUCCGAAUAAAUGUGAGUUUAUUUUAUAAAAAGAGUUUUUAAUAUUUUAGAAGUA